rnacentral:rRNA from 1 species
GACGAACGCUGGCGGCGUGCUUAACACAUGCAAGUCGAACGAAGAGCGAUGGAAGUUUGUUUCUUUCAAUUUUAGUGGCGAACGGGAGAGACACGUGUAAUCAACCUGUCUUUCAGAGGGGGACAACAGUUGGAAACGACUGCUAAUACCGCAUACGUUCUAAUCUCGGCAUUGAGGAUAGAUGAAAGGUCGUGUUGACAUGUAAGCUAUCACUGAAGGAGGGGAUUGCGUCUGAUUAGCUAGCUGGGGGGGUAACGGGCCAACAAGGCGAUGAACAGUAGCCGGUCUGGGAGGGUGAACGGCCACAUUGGGACUGGGGCACGGCCCAAGAUCCUACGGGGGGGAGCAGGGAGGAAUCUUCCGGAAAGGAGGGAAGUCUGACGGGGGAACGCCGGGUGGGUGAUGGAGGCCUUCGGGUUGUAAAGCUCUGUUAAUCGGGACGGAAGGCAUUCUUGCGUAUAGGGGGAAGGAUUGACGGUACCGGAAUAGAAAGCCACGGCUAACUACGUG